UAGGGAAUAUUGGUAAUGUGCGCAAGCGCGAACCAGCAACGCCGCGUGUGCGGUGAAGGCCUUCGGGUUGUAAAGCACUUUUUGAGGGGAUGAGGAAGGACAGUACCCUCAGAAUAAGCCUCGGCUAACUACGUGCCAGCAGCCGCGGUAAAACGUAGGAGGCGAGCGUUAUCCGGAUUUACUGGGCGUAAAGCGUGUGUAGGCGGUUUGAUAAGUUGGAUGUGAAAGCUCCUGGCUUAACUGGGAGAGGUCGUUCAAAACUAUCAGACUUGAGAGUGGUAGAGGGAGGUGGAAUUCCGGGUGUAGUGGUGAAAUGCGUAGAUAUCCGGAGGAACACCAGUGGCGAAAGCGGCCUCCUGGCCCAUUUCUGACGCUCAGACACGAAAGCUAAGGUAGCAAACGG
rnacentral:rRNA from 1 species